UACAGAGGGGGCAAGCGUUGUUCGGAAUUACUGGGCGUAAAGGGCGCGUAGGCGGCCACCUAAGUCAGACGUGAAAUCCCUCGGCUCAACCGGGGAACUGCGUCUGAUACUGGGCGGCUUGAAUUCGGGAGAGGAAUGCGGAAUUCCAGGUGUAGCGGUGAAAUGCGUAGAUAUCUGGAGGAACACCGGUGGCGAAGGCGGCAUUCUGGACCGACAUUGACGCUGAGGCGCGAAAGCCAGGGGAGCAAACGGG
rnacentral:rRNA from 1 species